GACGAACGCUGGCGGCGUGCUUAACACAUGCAAGUCGAACGAUGAAGCUAGAGCUUGCUCUGGUGAAUUAGUGGCGAACGGGUGAGUAACACGUGAGUAACCUGCCCCGAACUCUGGAAUAACUGCUGGAAACGGUAGCUAAUACCGGAUACGACCCUCGGCGGCAUCGCCAGGGGGUGGAAAGAACUUCGGUCAAGGAUGGACUCGCGGCCUAUCAGCUAGUUGGUGAGGUAACGGCUCACCAAGGCGACGACGGGUAGCCGGCCUGAGAGGGGGACCGGCCACACUGGGACUGAGACACGGCCCAGACUCCUACGGGAGGCAGCAGUGGGGAAUAUUGCACAAUGGGCGCAAGCCUGAUGCAGCAACGCCGCGUGAGGGAUGACGGCCUUCGGGUUGUAAACCUCUUUUAGUAGGGAAGAAGCGAAAGUGACGGUACCUGCAGAAAAAGCACCGGCUAACUACGUGCCAGCCGCCGCAGUAA
rnacentral:rRNA from 1 species